rnacentral:tRNA from 1 species
GCCUGGGUGGCUCAGUUGGUUAAGCGUCUGACUUCGGUUCAGGUCAUCAUCUCGUGGUCCGUGAGUUCGAGCCCCGCCUCGGGCU